CGACGCGCCCCGGACGACCGGGCGGCCGACUCAGCCAGAGCCCCCGGCGGGCCCCAGCGGCCGCAGCGGGGAGAUCGGCCCCGGGUCCGAGCCUCGGACAUCUGCGACGGACGGGGCGGGCGGCGCGGAUAGCAGCCCGGGAGGCCAUGGGGACCCAGGCCGGGCCGGCGGUCGCGGGCCAGCGGAAGCCCCGAGUCUGAAGAGCCAGCAGCCGGGCGGCGGGGGCCAUGACCUCGGUGUGGAAGCGCCUGCAGCGCGUGGGCAAGCGGGCCGCCAAGUUCCAGUUUGUGGCCUGUUACCACGAGCUGGUGGUGGAGUGCACCAAGAAAUGGCAACCGGAUAAGCUGGUGGUGGUGUGGACCCGGCGGAAUCGACGCAUCUGCUCCAAGGCCCACAGCUGGCAGCCAGGCAUCCAGAACCCAUACCGGGGCACCGUGGUGUGGAUGGUGCCAGAGAAUGUGGACAUCUCUGUGACUCUCUACAGGGACCCUCACGUGGACCAGUACGAGGCCAAGGAGUGGACAUUUGUUAUCGAGAAUGAAUCUAAGGGACAACGGAAGGUGCUGGCCACUGCUGAGGUGGACCUGGCCCACUACGCGGGGCCCGUGCCUGCCCGAGCACCCCUGCGGCUGCGGCUAAAGCCCAAGUCCGUGAAGGUGGUACAAGCUGAGCUGAGCCUCACUCUCUCGGGGGUACUGCUGCGGGAGGGCCGUGCCACGGACGAUGACAUGCAGAGUCUUGCGAGCCUCAUGAGCGUGAAGCCUAGCGAUGUGGGCAACCUGGAUGACUUUGCUGAGAGUGACGAGGAGGAGGCUAAUGGCCCAGGGGCCCCUGAGACACGGUCUCAUGUCCCCCAGCCAGGUCGGGGCAGUGCCCUGAGGCUGGGGCGUUUCCCAGAUCCCUCUCGGGAGCUGAAGACACUUUGUGAGGAGGACGAGGAGGGCCGGGUACAGUCCCGGCAGGCAGCUGCCAGCCCUUCUAGUGCGGAGGAUACCAGUCCCACCCCUGUGAGUGCCCCUGCGCCCCCAGCCAGGGCCUCCCGGGGCCAGGGGCCAGAACCAGCUACUGUAGCAGGGGGCCAGGUGGGGCUCAAGGCCCCAAGGCCCCUGGGAACCCCACCAGAGGAGAGGUCCUCAAGACAGCCACGCCAGGAUGUGGCCCCUACUCCAGCCCCUCGGUUCCGGAAAGGCUCUGAUGCCCCCUGGCCCCCAGGCCCCCAAGGGGAAGAUGAGGCUUCCAAAGCCUCAGGGGCCCCCCUAGCAGGAGUGGGUUCUUCUGGGGAGAUCCAAGUCCAGGAAAGCCCUCAGGAAGGGACAGAGGCUCAGGGAGCCAGGCUGGGCCCAGGCAUUGAGGAUGAAGGCUCCAGAGACUCUCUGGUAGGGCAGAAAAACAAGGUUGAAGAGGGGAGCCCUGGGGACAGGCCAGGGGCUAGAGGGGUGGACACAGAGCAUGAGUCAGAAGUCACAGAGGUGAACACUAAGAGAUUAGACAUCAGAGCUGGGAAGGCUGAAGAGAGUUUAGAAGUGAGUCAAGUGGAUGCUGAGCAGAGGUCAAAGGUGAGACAUGUGGACACUAAGGGACCAGAGGCUAUAGGGGUGAUGUCUGAGACAAGAUUCAAGGAGACUCCCGAGGCUCCACCAAGAGGCUCUCAAGGGAGGACAGGGGUCAGGACUGGGGAUGAGGCUCCUACAAUCCUGAGCACACCUGCAGCAGAGCCUGUAGGGCACACCAGGCAUCUUGGUGACCUCAAAGGUGACAAGGCUGCUGCAGGACACGAGAGAGAGGGUACAGAGGUGAGAGGCAGAGUCCCUGGUAUUGGGGGGACAGGCCCGGAGCAGGGUCCCUCUGUUGGAGCAGCGGAUGUCAGGCCCCAGGUGAGCAGGUACAAGGGGGCCCCACCAGCAGCUGACCAAGGGGUGAUGUCUAGAGAUCUGGAGUUCUGGGAGGCAGAGGCUGGGGAUUCGAGAAUCCUGGGAACAGAGACUGGGGUGGCAGAGUCCGAGGUACUGGGGACCCAGGAGACAGAAGUGGGGAGAUCAGGAUUCCUGGAGAUAGAGGCUGGGACAGCAAAGGCUGAGGCCCUGGAGGCCCAGGAGACGGAGAGCAUGGGGUUGGGGGUCCUGGAGUCAGAGGCUGCUGGAAUGGCAGAGUCUGAGGAACUGGGGACCCAGAAAACAGAGGCUGGGGAUUCAGGAUUUCUGGAGACAAAGACUAGAAUGGCAGAGACUGAGAUAUUGGGGACCCAGGAGACAGCUGGUGGUUCAGGGAUGCUGGGGACAGAGGCUGAGGCAGCAGAAUCUGAAAUAUGGGGGGCUCAGGAGGCAGAGGUGGGAGGUGCCAGCAUGCCAGAGAUCGAGGCUGGGAGGGCAGAGGCUGAGAUAUUGGGGACCCAAGAGACAAAAGUAAGGGGCUCAGGGAUAAAAUACAAGAUGGCAGGGACCCAGGAAGCAGAGAUAGGCGGUUCAGAGGUUCCAUGGUUUGAGACCAGGACAGCAGCAGCUGAGAUACUGGGGACCCAGGAGGUAGCAGCUGGGGGUGCAGGGGUCCCAAGGAUAGAGAAUGAAGUAGCAGGAGCCCAGGAGACAGAGGUGGCUGAUUCAAGGGUUUUGAGACCAGAGGUUGGAAUGGCAGAGAUGGAGGGACUGUGGACUCAACAGACAGAAACUACAGUUUUAGUGACUGAGAAAGUGAAGGCAGAGACUUUGGGGGCCCAGGAGGCAGAGCCUGGGCUCUGGGAGACCCUCAAAUAUGAGGCUCUACAGGACUCCAUCACUAAGCAUGGAGUUGUAGUGCCCCAGGGGGUAGAGUCAGAGGCAGAGACUACAGUUUUGAGGGUCCAGGAGGUGGAAGCUGGGGUUUGGGGGGUUUCAGAGGCCAGAUCUGGGGUUUUGGGGGCCCAGGAAGCAGAGAUGGAGGGUUUAGGGCCUCCCAAGAACGAAUUAAGUAUUUUGGAGCCCCAGGAUGCAGAAACUGGGGUCUCAGGAACUGAGAAGGGAAAAGACGCUGAGUUAAACCUCCCAGAGGCCAGCCUGACUGAGGCACAGGUGGCCAGUAGGGCGGGGGCUGGGGUGCGCAAGCCCUCAGGGGCCUCUUCCCCAGAGGAGCCUGAAGAGGACGGGAGGCUGCUGGGCAGCCAGGCACCACCUGCCCAGGUCAGCUCCAGUCAAUCCCUGCUGGAGUGGUGCCAGGAAGUCACUGCUGGUUACCGUGGUGUCCGAGUCACCAACUUUACUACGUCUUGGCGCAACGGCUUGGCAUUCUGUGCCAUCCUGCACCGAUUCCACCCAGACAAGAUUGACUACGCCUCCCUGGAUCCGCUCAACAUCAAACAGAACAACAAGCAGGCCUUCGAUGGCUUCGCGGCCCUGGGCGUGUCGCGGCUGCUGGAGCCGGCGGACAUGGUGCUGCUGUCGGUGCCCGACAAGCUCAUCGUCAUGACGUACCUGUGCCAGAUCCGCGCCUUCUGCACGGGGCAGGAGUUGCAGCUGGUGCAGCUGGAGGGCGGCGGCGGCGCUGGCACGUACUGUGUGGCCAGCGCCCGGCCCGGCCCGCCCGACAGCCUGGACACCGGGGGCCUGGCGCAGCGGCUGCGGGAGCACCGGCCCGAGGCGCCGGCGGAGCCCAAGGAGCCCGAGAACCGCGCUGACCGCGCGGCUCCCGAGGCCACCUCCGAGGACGGCGGCGCCGAGCCCGCCCUGGAAGCGCGCUCCGCGGAGGCCCCUGGCGACGGCCCCGGGGCCCGGCCAUCCGCGCCCCCGGCCCAAGGGCUGGUGAACGGGUCCGGGGCCCCGGGCGCGGGGGGCGGCGCGAGGCAGCGGCGGCCGUCGGUCAACGGGGAGGCCGGGCCGGUGCCCCCGCCCCGCGCCCACGGCUCCUUCUCCCACGUGCGCGACGCCGACCUCCUCAGGAAGAGGCGCUCGCGGCUGCGGAACAGCAACUCUUUCUCGGCCGAGGACCCGGACUCGGGAGCGGCUGGAGCCAGCGGAGCGACCGGAGCCCCGGCGGCAGAAGCCCUGAGCCCUGACCCCAGCUCUGUCCCUGGCCCACCCACAACCGCAGCCCCACAGCAGUCCCCUGGUAAGAGUCUCCCAUCAGAGGAGCCACCCCCAAGUCCAGGGGAAGAGGCUGGGCUGCAACGGUUCCAGGACACAAGUCAGUAUGUGUGUGCAGAGCUGCAGGCCCUGGAACAGGAGCAGAGACAGAUUGAUGGGCGGGCAGCCGAGGUGGAGACACAACUGAGGAGACUUAUGGAGUCAGGUGCUGACAAGCUGCAGGAGGAGAUGUUGAUCCAGGAGUGGUUCACACUGGUCAACAAGAAGAAUGCUCUCAUCAGAAGGCAGGACCAGCUGCAGCUGCUCAUCGAGGAGCAGGACCUGGAGCGGAGGUUUGAGUUGCUGAGCCGGGAGCUACGGGCCAUGCUGGCGAUCGAAGACUGGCUGAAAACCGCGGCGCAGCAGCACCGAGAGCAGCUGCUCCUGGAGGAGCUGGUGUCGCUGGUGAACCAGCGCGACGAGCUGGUCCGGGACCUGGACCACAAGGAGCGGAUCGCCCUGGAGGAGGAUGAGCGCCUGGAACGCGGCCUGGAGCAGCGGCGCCGCAAGCUGAGCCGCCAGCUGAGCCGGCGCGAGCGCUGUUCGCUGAGCUGAGGCCUCCGGCUCGCACCGCAGCCCUUCUCGCCGCAGCGCAGCACGGGGUCGCCGCCCCGGGGCUGGCGCCUGGAGGACCGCACGUGGUCGCAGCGCGCUCCACUCGUGGGGCCGCCGUCGCCCACAGGGCGGGGAGCAGGGCGGCCCCCGAGCCCGACCGAUGGGAGCGGCUGGACGGCCGUGCAGUCCGGGGCCGUAUUUAUUUGUUCGUGAUGCCACCUUGGUCUUCAGCAGUCAGCAGGCCACUGGACCCAAAGAACUUCACCAUGGCACGGACCUGUGGCAGCUCUGAGAAGGUCUCCACAGUCAGCAGCAUGGCCAGGAGCCCAAGGAGCAAGUAACCUGCUGGACUCACCAAGAAGUGCAAGCUGGCCAAGGUGGUAAAGUACUGGAUGAAGGCCACGGCUACCACCUGGCAACAGGUCCCCCAGGCCGAUGGUGCUGAGUGAGCUGAAGCAGAAGUAGAUGGCCUCCAGCAGGUCGCACUCACCCUGCAACCCCCACAGCACCAGUGCCGGAAGCAGCACGAAGGUCCCAGCCACCAGCAGGCCCAAUCCAGCUGCACACAGCAGUGCAGCCAUCUCUGGGGCCAGCUGCCAGUGGAUGGCCACCCAGGCCCCAGGAUGGCUUAGCAGGGGCAGCAGGCAGCAGCGCAGAGCGGCCAGGAGUGCUAGGGAGGCUGGCAGCCCGAGGGUUGCGUAGACCACACAGAAAGCCUUUCCACCUGCUGAGAGUGGGGCCAUGUUGCCAUAACCUGGAAAGGAGAGAGGUGGUAGGCAAGGUCACUUGCAUGGGGUGCCAGGUGUGGUUCCCCUCCUUCCCCCAACAAGGCCGCUGGCAGAAGGCUGCCCUCUGGUGGCUGAGAUGAUGGGAACUGUUCAGACCUGGGCUCUGGCUGGCUUUGCUCCUCAUUUGCUGGGGGUCCUUUAACCAGUCUUUUAACCUCUGUAACUGCUCUUCCUAGGUAAGUGUCUGACUCUUAAUCUUGGCUCAGGUCAUGAACUCAGGGUCAUGAGAUCAAAGCCUGGAGCCUGCUUAAGAUUCUCUCUCCUUUUCUCUCUGGGCACCAUCCUCCUCCCCAACCUC